GAUCAUGGCUCAGGAUGAACGCUAGCUACAGGCUUAACACAUGCAAGUCGAGGGGAAACGACAUCGAAAGCUUGCUUUUGAUGGGCGUCGACCGGCGCACGGGUGAGUAACGCGUAUCCAACCUGCCCACCACUUGGGGGAUAACCUUGCGAAAGUAAGACUAAUACCCGAUGAUAUCUCUAGACGACAUCUGAAAGGGAUUAAAGAUUUAUCGGUGAUGGAUGGGGAUGCGUCUGAUUAGCUUGUUGGCGGGGUAACGGCCCACCAAGGCUACGAUCAGUAGGGGUUCUGAGAGGAAGGUCCCCCACAUUGGAACUGAGACACGGUCCAAACUCCUACGGGAGGCAGCAGUGAGGAAUAUUGGUCAAUGGGCGAGAGCCUGAACCAGCCAAGUAGCGUGCGGGACGACGGCCCUAUGGGUUGUAAACCGCUUUUGAUUGGGAACAAAGAGCGCCACGUGUGGUGCGUUGCGUGUACCUUUCGAAUAAGCAUCGGCUAAUUCCGUG
rnacentral:rRNA from 1 species